rnacentral:lncRNA from 1 species
UAUAUCUACUCUUAUUUCCUUCAUAUUUGCCCUUAAUUCCUUCAGUAUUUUCAUUGUCUCACUUUUGAACUCAGUGGCUAUCAGACUGCAGAGGUCUGUUUCAUUGUUUGCUGCUUCAGGGGACUUCUCCUGUUCUUUGAACUGGGACUAGUUCCUGAGCUUCUUCAUUUCACUUAUAUUUUUCUUUUUUUGUGUCAGUUUGGGGAAACCAACUACUGUAGUCUUGGAGGGCUCUUUCUAUGCAGGAGCACCCCUUUGUAUUUUUGGGGGGUUGCUAUUUAUUUUUGGCAUGCGAGCUUGGAUAUUUGCUAUCCCUCUGUUCAGUGUGAGCAGUAUACGCCCUUGUAAGGAUUCUGAGUGUGUUUCCAGGGAGUUGAAAGCAAUGGGAAGGGCUAGUAGUCAGUGCCUGGUUGCUGGGCUCUUGACAGUAGCAAGGAAGGUGGCACAGGCUACUCUUAGUUGCAGUGCCCUGGGAAGUGGUAAUCGGCCUAAGGCAGAUUUAGGCAGUGCCUGGAGCAUGUGGCAGUGGCAGUGGCAGGGUGUGUGAGUUCCCAGAGGAGUCAGAGCAAAAACAGGUGGUGUUCAGCCACAGUGCCCUCCUCUGUGGUGCCCUCUGAGGUGACUGGGACUGCAAGUGGUGUCUGUUCAUGGACCCUGAGUGGUGGCAGGCCAUGCCUACCUCUUGAGUCAGAGAUAACUAUGGUGGUUCCCCCACCAUUUGUAGACCAUACAAGAAGUAGCCCAUCCUGAAUAGCUGAUGCACAAGUUUCUGCACAGGAUGCUCCUAGUUGAAGUAAGAAAGAGUGAUUGAAGAGAUACUGUAGAAAUAAAAAGGUAUUUACUAGCAAAUUACAUUUUAAUAUAUGUAAAGUGGAUCCACUAUACAAAACAAAUUAGAAAAGGCAGAGAUAAAUAUCAAAAAGUUAAUAUAAAUAUUAAUCACCAGAGAUAAGUUGACACUACUGAUGAAGACUUUUUAGACUUCUCGCUAUAUGCAUAUACAUAAUUUUUGGCACAAAAUUGGGAUUCAACUCCAUAGUUUAUCAGAAUGUGAUUUUUAAAUAACAAUAUAAUGUGAAAAUUACUCUUUAUUUUUAGUUCUGUAUAACCAUUUCAAAGGCAGCAGUCUACUCCAUUUCAAGAGAGAAAAUAGUAGUCUUUAAAAGCAAUUAGUCCUUUUGCACUCUAAGAAUUUUGCAUAUUUAGAUCAUACAACAUAAUACCAAAAAUUCUUCUUGGAAACCCCAUCAUAACUGAUAUUCUUUCUCAGUACUAUGCAGUAGUAGUUGUUUCCUUACACUUUUCCAGUUCUCUGUUUUAUUAAUCUCUAUUUUGUCUUAGGUUUAUGCAUAUGUAUUUGUGAACUACCUAUAACUUUUGCUUGGAUGUCUUCCUAUUUCUUAUUGAUCCUUAAAAGAUUUUAAUUAUUAGCGUUGAACCAAAACAUGUGCUAUAGAUAAUGUGUUAUUUAACAUCAUUUGUAUUGCAUAUAACAAAAAUUUUUAUAUUUGAAAUUAGUAAUUUUAUGUUUUCUUAAUUUAUGUUUUCUUGUCAUUAAAAGGUUAUUUACUAGCCAAUAUAUAUUUAUUUAUCUAUAUGUAGGGAUAGACUACAUAUAGCCUAUAAUUUUAUAAAACAUAUUUUCUCUUUUUUAAUUAAAGAUUUGCAAUGCUGUGUCAUUUUCUGCUGUACAGCCAAGUGACUCAUCUAUCAUGGUCUAUCCCAGGAGACUGGAUAUAAUCCCUGUGCUAUGCAGUAGGAAUUUAUUGUCUGUCCAUUCUAAAUGUAAUAGUCUGGAUCUGUGGACCCCAAACUCCCAGUCCAUCCUACUCGCACCUCCCCCUUAGCAAUCACAAGUGUGUUCUCCAUGUCUGUGAGUCUGUUUUGUUCUGUAGAUAGGUUCAUUUAUGAAAUAGUCUAGAUUCCAAAUAUAAGUGAUAGAAGAUUCACAUAUAAGAGAUAUCGUACGGUAUUUGUCCUUCUCUUUCUGACUGACCUCACUUAGUGUGGAAUUAUCAAACAUCCAUGCUGCUGUGAAUGGCUUUUCUUUUGUUUGUUUUUAUGCCUGCUCCCACAGCGUAUGGAAGUUCCCCAAGCCAGGGAUUGGAUUCAAGCUGCGGAUGUGGCAACGUCAGAUUGUUUUUGCUCACUGCUCCUGGCUGGGGAUGAAACAAGUACCUUCCCAGCAAUCUGAGGCACUGCAGUCAGGUUCUUAACUCACUGCACCAUGGUGGGCACUCCUAUUUAAUUUUUUAUGGCCGAGUUGUAUUCCGCUAUGUAGAUAUAUAUAUCACAUCUCCUUAAUCCAUUGAUGGACAUUUAGGUUGUUUCCAUGCCUUAGCUAUUGUGAAUAGUGCUGCAGUGAACACAGAGGUGCAUGUAUCUUUUUGAAUUAUAGCUUUGUCUGGAUCUAUGUCUCGGAGUAGGAUUGCAGGAUCAUAUGGUAAGCCUAACCUUAGUUUUCUGAGGAACCUCCAUACUCUUUCUCCUUAGUGGUUGUACCAAUUUACAUUCCCACCAACAGUUUAGGAGGGUUCCCUUUUCUCCACAUCCUCUCCAACAUUUGUUAUUCGUAGACUUAGUAAUGCCAACCAUUCUGACUGGUGUGGGAUGGUACUAUUUUAGUUUUGAUUUGCAUUUCUCUAAUAAUUAAUGAUGCUAAAACAUAUUUAAUAGUUCAUUGUUUUGGAUGUUUCUUUACAGUAAAUCACUUAUAUCAACAUCUUUUAUAAAAAUAUCCACUUUUUCUACUCAAAUGAAAUAACAUUUCAUAUAGCAUAUUUUUUGAAGAUUUCCCAUUCAAGUUUUUCUACUUGAAUAUUCCUUGUAUAAGUAAAACUUUAUUUCUAAACUUGUAAUUGAUUGUUUUAAUUUAUUCUAUUCUAUUUUCUCCUUUCCUAGCUAUUUUUUAUUUUAGAUAAAUAAUCACAUGAUCUACAAAUAGUUUUGUCUUUUUAAUUUCCAGUAUGUACCUUUUCCUCACUCCAUCCUUCUUGCAUUAUUUACUUCAGGGUCAAACAUUUAUUUUAAAAAGGUUAAAUAGUAAUAAUGUUAACAAACACUUUAAUAGUCUUCAUGAUUUAAGGGAGAUGCCCUAAUCAUUUCACCAUUAAUUAAUGUGCUUCCUGUUAAUUUCAGAUUACUUUAUUAUGCAGUUAACUGAAGUAUGAUGCAAUAUUCAGUAAACUGUAACUAUCAUAACUAGAGUACUAAUAUAAAUUUUCAGUUAUCUAUCUUAAUAACAAACAUGAUUCACAUUUAUUAAACACUUAUAUAGUCCAGGCAUAGUUAUAAGCACUUAUAUAUAUUUAAUUUUGUCAGUAAAGUUACUAUAUAGAUAAAACUGAGACUAAAAAGACCUGGGAGCUGGGAUUUGUACUCAGUUUUUCUGGGUUCAGAGCUCUUCUUGUAAAAACGAUAUGUUGAGUAUCAGUGACUGAUAAGACCCAAAUUAAUCUAUAAUGCCGUGGGGAAGAAAUUAUCAUGUUCUGGUCGGUAUUCCUCAGGCGAGCAUUAUGAGCAAAAAGAAUUCUCUUUCAAGGGUGCCGAAUUUGAGCAUCUCUGGAAUAUGGACGUGAAGAACCCUCAUGAACAGUCAUCUAUACUGGUUUGAUUCUCAGAGAAAAUUCCCAGACGGUCUAUUAGUUAGAGUUGAGUCAGUUUAGCUGGGAGAGCAUUUUCCAGCGUGAGUCAUGGCAUUGUUUGACCCUAGGGAUCAGUCUGGUGGCUUAGAGAAGAAGGCAGAAACCGGGGAAGGCAGAAGCAAUCCCUUAGGAAGCAGCUGCUUUACUGAGUACUUUUCAGGCUUCAAGAAAGAAGGUUUCUUACUCAACAGCUGAGGAGGGAAUGCAGCUGGACCGCUUCUUCAAGCACAGAGAGUUCAAGGGGAUGUGCUUGUUCCAAAGUUGCAAGAGUUCAUUCCCAUCCUAAGGGCCAGAGUUCCUUCCACGCAUUGUUUAUCAUGGUCCUGAUUUUGACGGGGUCUUGUUUAGGAUGGCAGCUUUCCCUGACGUUCAUCCACUCUUACAAUUGAGUCUGUUUUACCUUUUUAGGUCUAUCUGCCCUGGAACUUGGGGAAGACAGGGUCAUUUACUGCUCUUAAAAUUAGAGGUACUUAAAUAGUGGUGAAAUCCCAGUCAAAAAUCUUAAGUAAAGGCUAUAAUUUCUUUGGAAAAACAUUCCCUGCAAAAUAUUUUGAAGCUAUUAAUAUAUUUAUUUUAGGUCAAUUCUAAUUUCUUAAUUCUCUAACACUUUUUCUCAGCCUAAAAGGAACUGCUUUGUGACUCUCUGCACAAAUAGGAGAGUAUAGCUAUACUCUUAAUCUUAAGAUUGGCAAGAGAAAUUUUACUGUGCCCUUAUUGAUCAAAGUAUUUUUAAAUCCCCUGUCUUACUGUUGGAAUCCAGCAGUAGUCUGCUUUGCCACUUUAUAAGGUCAUUUUCAUUUCUGUCUUGAAACACAGCCAGCUUUUCUUCUGUCAACUCUUUCUUGUAAUAAUGUGGUAAACAUAGGCUUUCCCAGACGCCACACUCUACCUUCUAUGAGUAUUAUUUUUUUUCCAUUUCCUUUCUGGAGCUACAAAUUUACUAGGGAGAAGUUUGCCUUCAAACUUACUGUAGAGAAUACUUUGCCAAAUGGUGGCCCUGACAUACCCUGGAACUCCCAUUUGUCCAGCUUCAGAUAGGGUUCUUCAUUCUCCCAUACCAGUCACCAAGGCAAUAUCACAUACAUUAGGGAUUUUUUUUUUCUUUUUUUUUCUUUUUUUUUCUUUUUUUUUUUUGCUGCUGCUGUUAUGGUCACGACCCACUGCAAAUACUGAUUUCUGUAUUUGUUAUGAUAGAACAGACUAUGCUGUGAUAGCAUUCAGUCCAAAGAUAUCAAUGGUUUAAUAUGAUCAGACUUUAUGUCUUUGUUUACAUCAGAGGCAGAUUUUACCCAAGCGGUUCUUCAUGAUCCUGAAGCUAUGAGACCUGGCAAAUGGGAUCUCUGAGAAUGCUGUGGCAGAGGAUAAGAGAGACAGAGGAAGCAUAUUAGGUAAAACAAAUUAUGUGGCACCAACCUAAACCUGAAACAGGUAAUAAAUAGGGGACCAGGAAAAUUUGCUGAGGCUUAGCUAUCUAUGCUACAUUUUUUUUUUUUUUUUUUUGGUCUCCUGUGAUUAACAACAGUUCAAAGCAGAGAACAGAGAAUAAAGUUUUCAGAAAAGUCUAUAUAUUUUCCUUUCCCAGUAUACAACAUCUGGGUUAAAUGCCCGUGAGUCUCCUUGGGGGUCAGCUGGGAAGAUUUACAGUUUAAUAUUUUAGUGGAGUCAUAGAAUUUUGACUUAGGAAGCUGGGCUGCUUCUGUUUUUAGGGAAGCUGGGAAGGAAAAGCAGCUCAGAUUGGGGGCUGUUUAUGGCUUAGAGUGUUCACUGUGAUGAUGCAGUGCAGGUUUUUGUUUAAAAACAGGAAUGUAGAUGUAGAUAUGUAUGUUACUGCUUUAGUAAGCUGUCCAUCUAUUUAAAACUAAGGUAGAUGACAACAAUAUGAGGUCAUUACAAGGCCUUCAAGCUAGGAAGGGCUAACUUCUGAAAUUCAAGAAGAGGGCUGUUGCCGCUUUGCCAAAAAGGCUCACUGGGAGUUUUGAGUUGAGGAUACCUGGAAUCCACUAAAGAUAACAUUCCUAUCAUCAGAUCCAUUUCCCACCCAGUCCUCUAAUUUUUAUGUAAUGUGGUCUGAUAAUUACAAGAGUUCAAUUUAUAUUAUAAUUUGCGUAUACUCUACAUACACAUUUUUAUUAACUUGGAGGAUCAAAUGUGCAUCUCUUGGAGUUCCCGUCAUGGCUCAAUGGAAAUGAAUCCGACUAGGAACCAUGAGGUUGUGGGUUUGAUCCCUGGCCUUGCUCAGUAGGUUAAGGAUCCGGCAUUGCCGUGAACUGUGGUGUAGUUCACAGACGUGGCUCAGAUUUGGUGUUGCUAAAUAGAGCAAUGUCUGAAGAAUUUAGAAGGUAAACAUUUAACAGUGAAGUUAGAAAAGUGGCUGGGGUGUAGGCUGGCAGCUACAGCUCCAAUUCAACCCCUAGCCUGGGAACUUCCAUAUGCUGUGGGUGCGGCCCUAAAAAGACAAAAAAAAAAA